GUUUGAGAGGUUGUCUCUGUCUCAAUAAAAGUUCACUGAUUCCCCCAUCUGCUGCAGGUGUCCGGUUGUCUUCAUUCUCCGCCAGCCUGGUUAAGUCAAUUCCUCCUUAACAUCUAAAAGAACCUAUUUAAUGAAGGAAGACGGGUUCACUUUGUGUUUAAUAUUAUUCUAUUGCUGUUGUUUUUUUUAUAUCCUUCAAUUGGCGUCACGAACAGGAUCCGCUCCAGGCCAAACUGGAACGGGUGGGAGGACAUCGGCCGUGGUCUGAGUGAACGGAGUUUGGACAAAAGCUGUGUGCACACAAAAACAAGUUGGGAUUCUGUGUGUGUAUGUGUGCUGGAGAAAUAAAAAAAAAAAAAGGGAAAAGGGUCUCUCUCUGUCUCUGUGAGAGGAAAAAGGUGGGGGCCGAGUGAGCCCGCGGGGCCGAGCGGGUCCGCGGGAGCGAGCGUGUAUGCUGUAUGAGGAAGAAGGGAGUGAGAGGGAGCGAGUGAAAAGAGUAAUCGAGUAUUUGGUGAUUUUUUUUUAUUAUUUCAGAGGCACUGGGUAAGAGUUUUGACUUUAGCUGUGAAAGUUGUGAAAAGAGCAGGUUUUUCUUUUGUUGUAGACUGUGAGUAAUCGGUGUUUUUCUGCCUAUUGUGCUGCGUGGAAGACACAGAAGUGUAGAAAUGUUUGUGGUUUAUCUUUGUUCGACGUUUUAUAUAGAGUUGGUUGAUUCAGGGUGAUUUCUCCCGUUUAAGGGAGGAGUUGCAUUGUGGUUAUGUUAAAGCUUUGCUGUAGGGGUAUGUGUGUGAUUUUGUGCUGGCUUCGCAUGUUUAAAUGGAUGCAUAGAAGUUUGUCAGUGAGAAAUUGUUAUGGUGGGGUUUUAAAGUUAGUAAAGAGUCAAACAACGCCCACUGUUUUAAAAAGGCCCAAAACAUCAUAAAAGACACCUCACAUCCUGGCCACUCCCUGUUCGAACUGUUGCCCUAAGGCAGACGGUACAGGGCAAUCAGAGCAAGGACUAAUAGACUCAAACACAGCUGUUAUCCAACUGCAAUAACACAUCUGAAUACUACAAAAAUGUCCACCA
ensembl:lncRNA